rnacentral:rRNA from 1 species
UACGAAGGGGGCUAGCGUUGCUCGGAAUCACUGGGCGUAAAGGGUGCGUAGGCGGGUCUUUAAGUCAGGGGUGAAAUCCUGGAGCUCAACUCCAGAACUGCCUUUGAUACUGAGGAUCUUGAGUCCGGGAGAGGUGAGUGGAACUGCGAGUGUAGAGGUGAAAUUCGUAGAUAUUCGCAAGAACACCAGUGGCGAAGGCGGGUCUCUGGACAGUUCCUGACGCUGAGGCACGAAGGCCAGGGGAGCAAACGGG